UAUUGUGUAUAUAUUUUAUUAUUUCUCUUUUAAAUUUUUAAGUAUUUUCGCCCGGCUUCCCGACGUGGAUCGAAAGUGACAUUGGCCUCCGAAUAUUACAAUGCCAAAAUCCAACAGGAAAAGGGACUUAGUGAGUGAAGUCUUAAUCAAAUGGUGCGUGUGCGUCGUCCCAUCGAUUAAAGCCGGCUGCUGCUGCACUUCAUUGAGAAACGGAACCCUGAUUGCUAUGUCUUUUUCAAUGUUAUUUGCCAUUGUCAAUAUUAUAAAUUCAUUUUGCCGUUAUUGGUUUGGGCCAAAAUUACAUCCUCAGGAUGCUUUCAUGAUGAUAUAUUACAGGAAAAAUGAAUAUAUUUUUGUAACAUUUGCAUUUUAUUACAUUAUAUGGCUGUUAUUGUGUUUAGCGAUUUUUAUUAACACAUGUCGAAACACUCUGAACAUCUGGACGACGAUGAUUUGGGUACUGUGCGUAAUCGUGUAUAUUGCUCUCUGCUGUGGUGAAAUUGCAUUCGCAGCUUUCUUUUACACAAAGGAUCAAAAAUUGCUCAUAUUAAUUUUUAGUGUGAUCUACUACUUCAUCCAGAUGUUGGCCAUGCUUUAUUUCACUAUGAUCACGAUCAACUAUUGCAAAGAGUUGGAAGAUGAUUCGGAAUCGGAGAACGAAUCCUAUUUUCUUACUUCACUUCCCAUUGUUGUCCCUCCUAUAUAAUUGGCUAUGGAAUGACCAGAGCUGAAAGUUCUAUGCUUUGGAACUAUAGAAUUAAAACAGGUGGUUUAUUUUAAAAGAAGCCGAUUAAAUAAUAUUUAGGACAUUUAUUUGACUUUGAGUUGGAAUUUUUAUUAAAACUCGACAAAACAAAUCGCAGAGACACUUGAGGAAGAAUUUAUUUAUUGCAAGUUGCUCCAAAGGCAUUUUACUGGAAGACAUUUCUGAAGUACUUCGCAUAAAUAUACUUAGCCUUGUAUUUUACAAGCUAAUAAACAGUCUAUUUGCAACUGUCA